CUUCACUACAUAUUUAGAACUAACCUGGGUGUUGCACUCAACGUAGAUAUGCAAACUAAUCUUUAGGAUAAUCCAGAGAGGAGCAGGGCAGAGAGAACUACAGUGGUUAGUGAGGCAACAAUGUCAACCAUUUUCAUAUCCCAAGAGACUGUUGGAAUGUAAUGAGGGAUAGCUACAUAUUACGAAGACAUUGG